rnacentral:rRNA from 1 species
UACGAAGGGUGCAAACGUUGCUCGGAAUUAUUGGGCGUAAAGCGCACGUAGGCGGCUUGGCAAGUCGGAUGUGAAAUCCCUCGGCUCAACCAAGGAAGUGCAUCCGAAACUGCCGUGCUGGAGUGUGGGAGAGGUGCGUGGAAUUCCUGGUGUAGCGGUGAAAUGCGUAGAUAUCAGGAGGAACACCUGUGGCGAAAGCGGCGCACUGGACCACAACUGACGCUGAGGCGCGAAAGCGUGGGGAGCAAACAGG